UGGCACUCCAGAUGUUUUGACUACACCCCCCAUAAUGUUCUGACACCCAUAGCGCUGGCAAAGCAUCAUGGGAGGUGUAGUCCAAAACAUCUGGAGUGCCA